AGCAGCCGCGGUAAUUCCAGCUCCAAUAGCGUAUAUUAAAGUUGUUGCAGUUAAAAAGCUCGUAGUUGAACUUCGGGGUUUACCCAUUGGUCAGGUUUAAUUAUCUGUACUGGUGAGAUAAAUCUCUACCUUCUGAGGAACUUUCAUGCCAUUUAUUUGGUGUGGGAGGAAAUCAGGACUGUUACUUUGAAAAAAUUAGAGUGUUUAAAGCAGGCUAACGUCUGAAUACAUUAGCAUGGAAUAAUGAAAUAGGACGGACUGAUUCUAUUUCGUUGGUUUCUAGGAUCACCGUAAUGAUUAAUAGGGAUAGUUGGAGGCAUUAGUAUUCAAUUGUCAGAGGUGAAAUUCUUGGAUUUAUUGAAGACUAACUACUGCGAAAGCAUUUGCCAAGGAUGUUUUCAUUAAUCAAGAACGAAAGUUAGGGGAUCGAAGACGAUCAGAUACCGUCGUAGUCUUAACCAUAAACUAUGCCGACUAGGGAUCGGAUGAUGUUAAUUUAAUGACUCAUUCGGCACCUUAC
rnacentral:rRNA from 1 species